UGGGAAUCAAAUUCAGGUUGCCACACUUUGUGGCAAGGGCCCUUCCCCACGGCUGGUCAUCCCAUCAGCCCCCGCGGCCCCUUUUCUAAGCAUGUAAGUCGGGUCCGGCUACUCUGCUGCCUCCUGGAAGCCAUGAUGUGAUGUUCUUGGUCUUUGGACAAUCUGGUACUCUCACCACUCAUUAUUUUCUGUGCUCUCGUACUUUUUAUUAAAUGGUAUUCUAUAUAGA
rnacentral:lncRNA from 1 species